rnacentral:lncRNA from 1 species
UGUUUGUUGGUGGAGGGGAGUAAACAUUUACUUUUACCGCUUGGGAACCGCCGCUAAUUUGUUAGCAUGGAAGGUACCGAUAACUCUUUGUCAUAACAUUGGCACGAAGGGUGUACCUCCUAAAAGAAUUUAUCUCUUAUUUUAGCUAUGAGUCUGUGAUGGCACCACUUCAAAUCCCUGCUUCCCUUUGCAAAGGGACUUUAUGUUUACUUUCAUGUAAUUUUAUUUUCACUUUGAGUCAUCACCUUCUCAAAUAAGCACCAGAC